CCUAUUCAGUUUCCACUUUCCAGUCUCCAGUCCUUCUCCCAUCUCCUUCUUUCUCCCGAAACCAAAACAGAAACCCUAGCCUCAUCGCCGAUCGUCGAAAGCCGCAAGGAAUGAGUCACCGCCGCCGUCCGUCGCAGUCAGGGGAAGCACAGAAGCCUCUCCUCCCAACCCCUAGAUCCCCUUCACCAGUUCUCCCAGCCCUAGACUCACUGCCAUAUCACCUCCGCCGUCUCAACUACUUGAAGCUGCCGUCCCUACUGCAUCUCGUCUCGCGUGCUUCCUCCGGUGCGCAGCCGCUGUUCCGCUGCGCCGGCUCUGCUCCUCUGCUCUAGUUCCGCCGCGCACCACCCUCCUGGGCUCCAAUUCCGUGGCGGUCCAGGCCACCUCUUCUCCAGUUCCACGGUGGUCCAGGCCACCUCUUCUCUAGUUCUGCCGCGUCCAACCUUCCGUCGUGCUCCCUCACCUCUGUGCUCUAGAAGAGAAGAUCUAUUAUAUGCUUAUGAAUGGCGUGGCUGGAGCUUGGAAAGAAGGCGUGUGGCAGGGUCAAGCAGUGGACCUAUUCAACUUUUAUGUGCAUAACAUUCUUGACCAAUAGCCAUUCAUAGCCCCGAAAGCAAUGACAUUGUUUUGGAAUUUUUUUUGUUUAGGUUGGUUUAUGUUUCUAACAUUCUUUGGUACGUUUUCACAUGUAAUUCAUGGUUAAACCUAAUGCUUAGUUGCAAAACCUCAUUAUUUGUGCUAAAUUAUGGUAUGAGGGACGAGGUGGAAUGUUGAAUGCGUUCCAUUAUUAACAAUCUAUUAUAACAAGUCACCUUCAUUGUACUUCUGAUUUGGAUAAUAUAAUCAAAUCUCAGUUGAACAACAACGUGAGUGUUCUUAGUUUUUUUUGUUUAGUUAUAAACUUUGAUGUUUGAAGUUGUUUGUGAACCUCUAAUAUUAAGUAAUGGAUAAUUUAUUAUGUGAAAUUUUAAAUUUUAUUAAGUUAGAAAUUAUUGAAUUUAUAUAUUUAAAAUUAUUUUUAGGUUUUUUAAUAAUUUUAUUUAAUAUUUAAUUAAACCGGUUAAACCCCAGUUGAACCUCGGUCGAACCAGUAAACCAUUAAACCAGUGAACUCACCGGUUUUUUGACCGGUCCGUUCUCGCAACCUUGCUUAACACACGUAGGUACACUAACCCCUCCCUUAUUCCUCCACGCUUCUUUUUUCCCCACCAUUCAUUCAUGGAUGAAUGCAAUCCACACAAAUAAACUUAUCAACACAGACAAGAAAGAAAUAAGAGAAAACAAGGGAAGAGAGGUCGAGAGAGAGCGAGACGCAGAGGGAAGAGGGGAAGGGAGAAGCAGUGCCGGCGGGUAACAUAGGCAGCGUCGCUGCUGUUGCUGUCAUAUAGGAGAGUGUGGGAGAAGUGGAGGGCAAGAAGGAGAAGGAUGGUGCGCUGUUGGAGCCACAUCACCGCCGUCCCUCCCAGUCACCUCCGUUGUUAAACUUCCAUCGCCGUCGCCACUGUUCAACCCACCAUCAGGGAGAGGCACUUCCAUCGAACCCUAGCUAUCACUAUCGCCUCUGCACACAAAGAAGGGGCUGGUGCCACUGUUGCCACUGUUGCCAUCGAUUUGGAGUUGCCAUAGACACAGUUGUUUCUACUUCUAGUGCUCAUUCUUCUGACAGUUGGAGUUGCUGUGGAAUUGAGCCAUUGGCGUGGUGUUGCUGCUGCCGGAACCAUCGGGAAUGAUUGCUAGGAAUCACUGCUGCCCUGUUCCAGUUCUAAUUAGGUUCAACAUCCAUUGGCCUGGGUUAGCCUUUUCCCCUUAUUUUUGCUCCAAUUACACGCUCUAUUCUGCCAAUUUCUUAUUAAACUGCUUUUUUUUUGUUUUAAUUCAACUUUGGCCUGUGCUCCAUUUUAAAUUACCUGAGCUGUUUCUGCCUUUCGAUUCCAUUGAAUUCGAAAUCUUCAUUUCACUGCAACCAUGGUCAUUGUUGUGGAAGCUAAUGCUACUGCUGUCCCAGUUAUGCUGAGAUGUAGUGCCCCUGCUUUCUUGGCUGAAAUGGUUGUGUGACUAAUAGGGAUCUAGCCAGCUGUCUCGCCGUAAUUCUGCCUUCGGCUUCUUAUAAUUGCGACAUCAAGUUACACAGGUUUGAAGACGCAAUUUGAAGCUGCAAGCGAUUAGUAGGUUUUUCUUUAUGGUUUUAAUUGCUUUCAUAGAGUCCCCUCGCUGUUGUCCUUUGAGAUUUUAUUUCAUAUAGAGGGGUAGGUUUGGUAUAUUGUAUUUGAGUUUCAUUUGGUUUCUUUUGUAUAAGAAUUAUUAUCAAUAGUAACUAUGUGAUUAUUCUUACUUGUAAAUGUUUGAAUUAUGACUUUAAUGAAUAAAAACAAAUUUUUUGGCAUUUUCUUAAAACUGAAACACAAACUCCAUACAAAGGCUCGAUAAUUAAGUAGUUAAUACUAGAGAAGGUUACAUAAUGUUCUUUCUAGUAGAAAUACCCUGACUUAAGCAUGGUAAUUUUGCUAGACGGGACGUUACAUGUACAAUUCUGGUUGUAGUGAUCAAGGGGUUUUCAAUAAAGAAAUGAACAUAUAAAGCAAUAAAAGAACAUGAAAAAUUGUAAUGAUUGAACUAAUGAAGAAAUUAAAGAACUGACUACACACUGUAAACAAGUAAAGUAUAAAAGAGAUUAACAUAAGUGUGUAUAAAAGAUUGAAAGCAUGAAAAGAGUCUUGGCUUGGAGUGAGCUAGGGGUCCUUCCCUUAUUAGAACCACAACUAUGACAAUUAUAAUGGAUUAUUCUCACUUGAUCAACCCUCACAUCAGAAAGUAAGUUAAAUGAGCAUAAGUGUUCCUAACCCACAAAUCCUAAAUUGCUUGCUAAUUGCCUUAGCAACAAAUUAGCGUUAGUGGGAAGAGAACAAUUAACAAUCUAAGAAUUGACACUAAAUGUUGAACAUUCCAACUCUAAGAACCCAAUUGUUCACUUUCCCCAAGCCAAAAGCCAAAAAUUUAGCCUAAAACCAUGGUUGACAUUUUGUCAAACACUUGGUGGGCAAAAACCUUAAACAUGGGGAAAAUGAGAAAAGGCUUGAAACUAAAAGCAACAAUUGAUCUCAAUCAACAAGAAUAACACAAGAAAGCAUGAAACAAAUAUCAAAUAUCAAAUUCAUCAACAAGAAAUUGAAAUUACAAAAGAGGUAAAGUUGAACUAUAACUUGAAUUAUAAGAAAGAGUAAGAACAAUGUGUCUAUAAAGAG